CAAUAGCGUAUAUUAACGUUGUUGCAGUUAAAAAGCUCGUAGUUGGAUUUCUGGAGGGAGCGUCGGCCCGUAUUUACGAGUGCGUGACGUCUCUGUCCAUCCUUGCGGGAAGGCACGGCAUUGAUUUGUUGUGUCGGAUCGCAUCAUUUACUGUGAAAAAAUUAGAGUGUUCAAAGCAGGCUUUCGCUUGAAUACAUUAGCAUGGAAUAAUAAGAUAGGACUUUGGUGCUGUUUUGUUGGUUGAGCCUAAAGUAAUGAUUAAUAGGGAUAGUUGGGGGCACCUGUAUUGCGUUGUCAGAGGUGAAAUUCUUGGAUUUACGCAAGACAAACAGCUGCGAAAGCGUCUACCAAGGAUGUUUUCAUUAA
rnacentral:rRNA from 1 species